ACAGAGAACUCGGAACAGGACAGAAGUAGAGUGCCCUCUAGGUGUAGAGGGUGUGACACAUAUCUUUUGUUUUCUCCCUCGAAAUCCAGCCUCCCUGUAAUGAAUUAUAAGCAAAGGGGCCUUCAUUCAGGGAGCCCAGAACACUAAAGAUCAUGGGCUCAAAUGGGAAUAUGCCAGGGCACCUGGCUGAGUGGCUCAGCCAGUAAAGACACUCUCUCUCUCAGAACAGGCUGGCAGUCCUGAGCACACUGUGAUUGGUAUCCUCCCAGUAGUGACACGCAGCUGGCAGCCAGUGUCGCGUGAGUAGGCUAGGGAUUAGCUGGUCAGGACUUCCUUGGGAUUCCAGCAACCAGUGAUUCAUGCUGCUUCCCUGCAGACCUGCAGCAACAUGAGUGAAGGAUUCACUGCUUCUCUAACCAGCACACUAUCCCUCCCACGGGACACCAUGGAGCCCGCACCACUGAUGGGACAGAGGAGCAUGCCGCACUCCCUCUUUCUCUCCGGGCGGAAUGGGAAUUGCGAGAUGGUUUGGAAGCAAACAAGUUGAGCCCCCACGUCGGUUGGGUGCAGUAUGAAAAAUGCCAAGAAAAAAAUGGGUUGUGCAGUGAAGUGCUUGGGACUGAGCCCUGCCUGGGUGGCUGGAGUUUAACACUGUACAAUGCCUGUGGCCCAGAGCAACAAAAUGCUCCUCACUUCCCCGUCUCACUCUAGUGAUGCUCCUGGGGAUUACUCGGGUUAUUGCGCGUAAUAGAAGCGCUCCUGUUUUUUUUGCUCUUUUUCCCCAGGCAGGAUCAUCAGCAUUCUUCGGGCGCAGGCUCACAAGCAGUGGGGUGGGGGCAGGGGAGCCGGCUGCUGAAUGCUAAUCAAGGCCAAGUCACGUUUCCCACGCUGAGGGCUCCUCCAUGAAAAUCGAUGAUUAAAAGCCCGAGUCCUUGUCCUGGCGCCCCCGCCUGAAUAAAACAUUGCCUGUUUGUCCUGUGGUGUCACUGGCACACUGACUGCUGGAUAGAUGGGGCAGAAACAGCGAGACGAAAUUGCAGGAAGGAGGAGAAAGAAAAAUUGUGCAUCUUGACUCUGCUGCAGGCUAUGAAAGUCCACCCUGGCUGUAAAAUCACUGAAGAAUGACUUGACUUGCACCAUCAAAAACACCAUGAGCGCUGUAACAUG